rnacentral:rRNA from 2 species
GCGGAGGAAAAGAAACCAACAGGGAUUGCCUCAGUAACGGCGAGUGAAGCGGCAAAAGCUCAAAUUUGAAAUCCCCCGGGAAUUGUAAUUUGAAGAGAUUUGGGUCCGGCCGGCGGGGGGUUAAGUCCACUGGAAAGUGGCGCCACAGAGGGUGACAGCCCCGUGAACCCCUUUAAAGCCCUCAUCCCAGAUCUCCAAGAGUCGAGUUGUUUGGGAAUGCAGCUCUAAGUGGGUGGUAAAUUCCAUCUAAAGCUAAAUACCGGCGAGAGACCGAUAGCGAACAAGUACAGUGAUGGAAAGAUGAAAAGCACUUUGAAAAGAGAGUGAAAAAGUACGUGAAAUUGUUGAAAGGGAAGGGCUUGCAAGCAGACACUUAACUGGGCCAGCAUCGGGGCGGCGGGAAACAAAACCACCGGGGAAUGUACCUUUCGAGGAUUAUAACCCCGGUCUCUAUUUCCAUGUUGCCCCGAGGCCUGCAUCUAAGGAUGCGCCUUGAAACGGGCCAAGGGGCAAAGGUCGCCCUUCGGCUGGGAUGCUGGCUUAAUGGUU